UACGUAGGGCGCAAGCGUUGUCCGGAUUUAUUGGGCGUAAAGAGCUCGUAGGCGGCUCGUUGCGUCGGCUGUGAAAACCCGCAGCUUAACUGUGGGCCUGCAGCCGAUACGGGCGGGCUGGAGUUCGGUAGGGGAGACUGGAAUUCCUGGUGUAGCGGUGAAAUGCGCAGAUAUCAGGAGGAACACCGGUGGCGAAGGCGGAUCUCUGGGCCUUACCUGACGCUGAGGCGCGAAAGCUAGGGGAGCGAACAGG
rnacentral:rRNA from 1 species